AGCAGCCGCGGUAAUUCCAGCUCCAAUAGCGUAUAUUAAAGUUGUUGCAGUUAGAAAGCUCGUAGUUGAAUUUUGGGUUUGGCCGAUUGGUCCGUUCUUGUAGCGAGUACUGGUCGGUUGGGCCUCACCGCUUGGGGAAGCGUAAUGUCCUUUAUUGGGUGUUGCGAAUAUCCAAGACCUUUACCUUGAAAAACUUAGAGUGUUUAAAGCAGGCAUAUGCCAGAAUACAUUAGCAUGGAAUAAUAGAAUAGGACAAUGAUUCUAUUUUGUUGGUUUCUAGGACCGUUGUAAUGAUUAAUAGGGAUAGUUGGGGGCACUAGUAUUCAAUUGUCAGAGGUGAAAUUCUUGGAUUUAUUGAAGACUAACUACUGCGAAAGCAUUUGCCAAGGAUGUUUUC
rnacentral:misc_RNA from 1 species